UAUGUGAAGUUUAACCGCCGACACGGUAAGACGUGUCUGAACAAGUUCAGACCAGUGAUUUUUGGAAGUUGCCUUGGAACCUGCCAAGACCUUAUUCAUUCAUACCUCAUAUAAGGAUUGGAGAAUGGCGUAUGGGGAUAACCUUUUUCCCCGGAGCCAAUACAGAACAGAAUAGAACAGAUGUUACGUAUGUGCUUGUGCGUUGUCUCGUAGGGAGACAGAUUAGAGCACGUUAAAUCGCAAAAUAAGUGAGAAUACAGGAAGAUAAAUAAAAAAUGGAAAAUAUGUAUAUUAGGAUAAACUAUAUUAAUAGAAACAUCCUAUUUCUAUAAGUGCAAAUAAUGUCCACAUUUAUAAUCUGAAAAGUUACAUGUAACAAUAUUGAAAUGUAAUAUAUUUACAAUAUACAUAAGAUGCUUUCAUGUUGUGUACCUAAGUGCACAAAUUUUCCAAGAAAACAAUAUUCAGUACAUUGUUUUCCGACGGAUAUUGAAAGAAGACAAAAAUGAAAGAAGAUAAAAAACAUCAAUAGAUCAAUCUUAAAUCCAGAAACAAUAUGUAUGCAAGGAACAUUUUGCACCAGAAAUGUGGAAGAAAUAGCGAGUAGAUGGAAAAAAAAAAUUAAAAAGUUGUGCAAUUCCCACAAUUUUUCCACAGAAAACAAUUACAAAUAAUGUUAUAGGUUCAAUUGCAAAUAUUGACGUCAAUUGUACAUCAAAUAGAGCAAACGAUUAGUUAUCAAUUAAUUUAAUAGAACAGGAUAGAAAAAUAACAAUAAAAUCACCAAUUAAUGAUAAUAGUGAAUUCACAAGCAACAUUUAACACAAAAAAGAACUCCCGACAGUGCCAUCCAUUACAAAAACAACCAUUCCUAUGCCAUUAAAUAUAGGUGAUAUGAAGAAAUUGGAAAUGUUGGAAUAUGCUGAGCAUAGAACACAGAAAGCUCUUUCAAAAGCAAAACAGACACAACUGAAACUACACCAAGCAAACAAAAUAAUUACAAAAUUAGAUAAGUCAAAGAAGACUGAUAAAAUGCGUGAACAACCUGAUGCAUAAAAAAAAAAGUUAAUACAAGAAAUAUGCUAUUGGAGACAAAAUAAAAACAUCGAAAAAAUAUUAAA